AGUAAACUGCCACCGGGUAGGAAAUGCAAAAGCAUUCGCGGCACAUCGUUAGGUCUUGGAAGAUGUGCGGGCGAAUGCUUUUUUUGGA
rnacentral:ncRNA from 1 species